AAGUUUCAGUAAAAAAAAAGUUUCAGUAAAUUACACUAUCUUGCUGGUGUCCACAAUGGUGAAUGCCAUUGGCAUAUCCUUUUGGACACCAUGCAAUCACACAUGGAGACACAGAUAAGAGUAGGAAAGUGGAGAGGGGAGGAAAUGGGGAAAGCACAAAAGCAAAAAAAGGGGAGAGUGGGUACUUUGCAUCUUGAUGGAUGAAAGUUGAUUGCCUCCAGCUUUUCUCAAAUAACCAGGUCAUUCAAUGCGGCGUUAGGUUUUAAACUUGAGCAUUUGCAGUCUUGCAUCACCUAAUAAUUAUUGAUUAGCUUUCCUGUUUUGUCUGUACCAAUUCCCAGUUAAUGGGCAAAUAUAAGAAAUCGGCAACAGCAGCAGGUCUAAAUUAAGGUUAAACAAAAAAUAAAAAUUCCAUUCUGAAAGAUGUUACCUCCAAGCAUUGGCUUUGUUCCUUCUUUGUGAAAUUUUUUUUUUCUAAUACUCAAUAUGGGCCAUGUUAGACAUGAAAUUGGAGGAUUAAAUCUCAAAACUGUACUUAACCUGGUUGAGUUUGGUUGCUAGCUCUACCGUGUAUGCAGCCUGACCUGGCACAAAAAAUGCUUACUCAUCCCACAAAGAAGACUUAUGCUACAUGAUAUUAGAAACAGACAAUAUGAUUUUUUCCAAGAGUCGUAACUUUGAUGUUGCCUUUAUAGAUGAAACUAUGGAGGAUUGUAUUGAUCAGGAAAGCUGAUGAGUAGGCUAUAAAUAUUCACAUACGAUUCGUUGGAUUGAAAAAUUUGAUGAUUCUUAACAAAAAUAUAAGCUCUCUCCCUCUGUGUUUUAUUGAUAUUUUUGUAAUUCAUAGGCUUUUCUUAAUGUUGAAGCGCUUCCCUGUUGAAUCAAAAGGGCGACGUAAGAAGUUACAGGAGGUAUCUAUGAACUUUUCUACUCUUCACUUGUCAGCAUAUUUGCCUAUAUUGAUUGCUUUUUUUUCCCCUUGCACAGGUUGGCUAUGUUACGACCAUAUGUUUCCUAUGUUUCUUGUUGAGAUGCAUUAUGGUAAGCAUGAGAAUACUUAUUAUCUAGCUAGGUUAAUAUUAUAUCUGUUAAAUAUUUGAUUUAUUUUGUGUUAGCAUUUUAAUCAUUGAAUUACAGAUUUGCUUCAACACUUUUGACAAAGCUGCAGACCUUGAUGUUCUGGAUCAUCCAAUUCUGAACUUCAUAUACUACCUGGUAUGGUCCAUAUUUUGCAGUUCUUGGAUUUAAAAUAACUUGAGCUGCUUUAUUUUUUCUACUUUCAGUUCAUCUACAUAAAUUAGGGUAGUCGACUGUAUGCAUUUCACCUGUAUGGUUAAAAGCUGCUCCUUUUAGGGCCUAUAUUUCACUUAUAAAAAGAUUAUGUGUAGCAUAAUAGGUGCUUCCUUUGUAAUAUAAGCUAGGGUCUUUCUUUCUCUAGUUAGUUUUCGUUAGUCUUAAUGUUAUAGAUUUCCAAUAAUUAAGAACAAAAUUAGUCAGGGCCACUUUAAGUCUCAUUUGUUCUCUUGAAAUGGUAUCAAGCUAGUUUUCAUUUUAGCCUUAAUAUGUUAUGGGUUUCCAAGAAAUAAGAACAAAAUCAGCAAGGACCACUGCAAGUCUCAUUUGUUGUUCUCUUGAAAUGGGUUUUCUGAAGAAAUUUUUUUACUGAAUCUGAGAUGGUUAUUAUUAGUUUUAUGUCUAGAUGCAUAUGUAUGUCGCAUUCAUUCAGUGACUUGUGGGUUUCUUUUGCUUUUGCAGUUUGUUGAAAUUUUGCCCUCAGCUCUGGUACUUUUCAUCUUAAGGAAAUUACCGCCUAAACGUGGGAUCACUCAAUACCAUCCAAUCCAUUGACUUGGGGUUCCUACUUUUGUUGUUGAUGAACUCACCAUAAACCAAUUAGUCUGCGAAGCCAUUUCAUGCUGAAGUUUACAGGGAAGAAAUCAACAAAACUGGCAUCCCGUGAUGAUGGUAUAACUACUCCCAGAAUAGAUCUGCUUUAUGGGGUUUGUAGGAAUAUAAUGAUUUGUUUUGAAGUCCAAUAGCAAUGUAAAUAUCUGCACGAUAGUUCAUUGUUUAGUUUAUCCUGCUUACUAAUUCUGUUACUCUGGUUGUCAUGUGAUGUUCUAUGGACACUCUCAAACAAACUACUUGCUACCAUCAUAUAAGCGAUUACUUUAGUAACAUGGUAAUUAUUUAGUGAAGAUCGAUACAUCUGUCACACUCUUGAUACUUAAGUAUCUGCAUUUGAAUUAGUUUAUCUUUUUAUCAAUUGUAUUCCUAAACUAUUGUACUUCUUUUCCAAGCUUUGAUCUUUUCAUUUGCUAAUAGGCCUUUUUCUAGAUCAACAUGUUCAGGUACCAUGAAGUUGAACACCAGAAUGACAAUUCUGUCUCCAUGAAACUAUGAUAAUACAUUAUGGUGGUCAGGAUCUUUGAAAUUUUCUUAUGUCAGGGAAAAUCCAAGAAUCCCAGCUAAAUGUUUAGAUUCUUGGACCAGGUUUUGACGAACCAUUACCAAACGUUGCAACGCCGAACACUCUUUGCUUUAACUAUCGAUCUUUUGGUAGUGUCCUUGUGACUAAUUAUUGCUAUCAAAAUUGAAAUAAAUGAGUGCUUCACACGAGGAACACUUUAUUCUGCCAGCAUAUCAUGUUUCUGCAUAACUCACGUCCUAAAACACGGAAGAAGCAUAAAAUGUUUCGCAUACCUUUUCUGCUGC
rnacentral:lncRNA from 1 species